CUGUUGCCUUUCUCUUAAUGUUCCACGUCAACCAUGGCUUGCCAGUACAUAAAGAGGUGCACCUGCAUCGGUCAGUGUUCUAUCAUUUUUUAAGAAGAAUAUAAACCAUAUGUAUUUCUCCCUUGGCUGGCUGACAUCCUGCAUAUUUUAGGCCAUUGGCUAUAAGCCUAUCCUUUCUGUCUCUUUUGUUGUAAAAAUGACUCCAUGGUGAAUUUGAAAAAUUCAGAUUUGCUUUGAUGAAGAUGCUGUGGAAAGCUUGCUGGACUCACUGUAUUGAUCCGGUGAGAGUAAACCAAAGUGUUUAUGCUUUCUCUUCAAGUGGAUAAUUCCUUCAAAUCAAAACAGCGCCGUGUUCUGUAAUAACAACAGAGCAGAAGAGGAUAUUUUGUAAUAUAAUAACUCUGUCUGUAUGGUUGAAGAGGAACAAAUGUUUUUUACGACUCCCCACUGUCAUAAUGAAGAAAAGCAGGUUGAGGAGCCUGGGAUAAUUAUUUGACCAUCGUAAAUAUUUAUGAAGUGGAGUGUGGUAUGCUACAACAUAAAGUGGAGCUGACAAUUGCAGCAUUCAUCGUGUCACUUUAUACUGACUAAAAUGCGCAUUUUUUCUGAAGAAAAGAAAAUCAUUAAACCCCCAAAUAUCUUUACUUAAAAUAUGAGGAGCAGCAGCAGCAGCAGCAGGAAAGAGGAGGAGGAGGAGGAGGGAAAGGAGAGGAGGAGGAAGAGGAGGAAGAGGGGGGAACUAAAACAAAAUGAAAUCACACAUAACUUUAACAAGAAGUAACCAACUUCUUCUAAACUUUACCUGCUACCCCAAACCUCUUCCAGGCACUUUACAUUGAACAUGUCUAGUACAUUCAGUUAAUAGUCUGAAAUGUCAAAUCCUAACUUUGUCUAUGAGCUAAAAGAAGUAUUGCAGAGAGCCAGAUGUCAACGCUAGAUUUAGGUUGGAUUGAAUGGACAUGACAAGGACAAAUGAAUUGGUUUCCUAUAAGUGGCAUGCAUAGGCAAAAGUCAAUCUUAUACCUGCAUAUGAUUUUGUUAGUUGAUGUGGUGUUUAGUAUUCCUCCUUCUUCAAUGACCUAUGAGCCUUUGGAACGAUCACAGUUCUCCUCCCCAUAUCAUUCUAUGCCUCAUGGGGAGCAGCAGGAUCUAUACACGUGAAUUUUGUGGAGCACUUUCAGUCAUUACAUUGAUGCAACAAUCAUAAAAAAUAAACUAUCACUAUUACAAUGUCAUGGGUGAAAAAACGGAAUAGACACUUCGGAGGCAUGUGUUUCUCAUGUUAGGCUGGGUCCAGUUUGAAGCUAUAGUCAUGUUUAACUAAAGGUAGUUAUUGCUUUUCACGUCAUUGGGAAGCCUGAGUGUGGUGGGUUUCUGAUUAGGAAGCAGAAAUGGAUGAAAAUAUUAACAUCAGCUGGUGUUACAUUAAGUGGUAUCAUGCAUAUUUGGCAAGCAAUUAUAAAUCACUGAGGAUUUUUCAGCAAGAAAUUUCAGUAGGAUGUCUUGGCAUUCUCUCACUUUCUCUCAGCAACACAUGUAUUACAUAUGGAUGAGAAGUUAGUAUACUGAAGAUAUCCAGCUUUGGAUCUUAUUCAGUUCAAGACACACAAUCACACUUUGUAGAGAUGAAACCAGGCUAAAGUGAAAGCAGAGUCCUUGAAUUAAGUAGAGCUAUAUCCUAUCACUGCUCAAGUUCAACCUUAGGCUAUGCACUUCUAGAGCAGUAACCAUAACAGGAGGAAUGGGGAUUUUUCAAAGAUAUUGUUGGACUUCAGUUUCUGUAAUCUAUUACAAAUGGCUAUGCUGGUCAGAGAUUAUGGGAAUUGCAGUCUAUGUAAAUUCACAACUAUUUUAUUUUUGCAUGUGGAAGUGAAUAUUUAUGGUAUUUUUCUUCUACUGUGGAAUUUUCUCCCUCUGCGGAGAAUAGAUUAUUCUGAUUUGGUUGCUAAAUUUAAAGCCUGGAAACACAAAUAUAGAAUACCAGAAGGUAUAACAUAUACAAUCAGCCCUCUACAUUUGUGGAUGUGACUUUUGCAGAUAUGAUUAUUCACAUAUUUCAUUAAAAUAUUCUUCCUGGGAACCUCUAAGCCUUCCAGUGUGAUUAUAUGGUCGACUUCUGCUGGAAGUCAAUCAUAGAGUCAUACUGGGAUACUUAGAAAUUCUCUGAGACAAUACUUGUCUAGGAAUCACUAGCUCCUCCAGCAUGAUCCAGCAGACGUUGGCUAUAAUGUCACUCUGGAGAAACUACAUAUUUCUAAAGAUGUGCCUUCUCAGGUAGAAAAAUAGAAAUUUCAUUAUUUGCGGUUUUUGCAUUUUUUUUUGUGGGGAUCCUGUGUCCUAAUCCCAGGGAAUGUGGAGGGCUGACUGUAAAGGUUAAGAUAUAAUGCAGAAUGUGUUUGUGUGUGUUAUUGAUAAUAUAGGAACUGCCUAGUUCCAGGCAGAAUCCUUGCUCAGUUGUAAACAAGAUAAGAACACAUUCAUUAGACCUGACCAAUAAUAACUUCAUGGCAGAUGUCAACUAUAGAAAAAUGAUUUAUAAAAUCUGAUGAAAGGUAACUCGAAAGCCAAGAGUUUGGUAUAACCAGGUUAAAGUUAUCUCCACAGGUCUGAUUAGAGGAGAGGAUUAUUGACAUAAGCAGUGCAAUUGUUUUUGGUUGGACCAGAAAGGACAGCUGAGAGGCUGGGCCGAAGCUAGGGAGAGGUUAAAGUAAGUCUAGAAGAAAGAAACAGACUGCUUUGCUAGUCUCCACCAUAUGAGGUAAGGCUGCUAUGUAGCCUCCAAAUCAUGCUGUUCUUGAUAAACUCUGGAGACAUGCUGAUGCAAACUGAUGCUGCUGGGAUUUACUUUUAGCUCCACUUGUGUGGAUGCUCAAUCCACCUGAGCGCUGGAACUCAAUCGACAGACCCAGUUUUUUGAACUGAACACGCCUACCUGUAUUUUAUAAUGUGUUUUAUGAAUACUGAUAUGCAUGGAGGUCAGCUGUGACCAGCAGUGCAGUGGAAUUCGAAGAGGCAUGAAUGGAGGGCGAAAGGGAGAAACGUGCCAAGAGGAAGGUGCAUCAAAGCCAACCCUGACCAGAACAGGCUUUCCACCUGGCAACUAAUGCCCUCACAGUGGAAGAACAUGCGUGUCAAGAAUAGGACUCCAUAGUCAUCUACAUACCCAAUGCUAAGACACUAAACUUGGAGGGCCAUCAUACUGGGACAGUGAGAGAUCACCUAAGUAGAAGAUAUUGUUUUAUUGUAUGCAAAGAAAAGAAUUUUGUCAUUUAUUUGAUGUGAACUGUUUUGAGUCCCCCCAAGGGUGAGAAAAGCAGUAUAUAAAUGCACUAAAUAAAUAAAUAAUGUUCCACAGCAGCAGAUAUUGACAGGCAUAUUGGCUGUUACUGGAAGUAAUAUAUAGCCAGCCACUAUAACUAGAAGAGACAAUAUACAUUACUGCCAUACCUGUGGGGGUAUUCUGAACUUACUGUGGAAACAGGAAACUGUGGAUGAUUUUGAACCUCGUUGAAAAGAAUGCAAGGUUAAUGCAGGUGACUUGGACCAAGGAAAUAAUAAACAUAAAUGCCUGUGUUGACUGAACAUGUUUCACCAAAUGUUUUAUCCAAAAAGAACAACAUUCACACAUAAAAUUAAAGAACCAGGCCAGAUAAUCCUUGCAGACAUAGAGAAAAACAUCUAGAAACUUCUAGAGAUGACUUGAGUUUCUUCUAAAAUGCAUUUAAAGGGUUUUUUUUUCACCAGCAUCCACUUUUUUGUGAUGUCAAUUUUGGUGACUUAAAUUACAGAUCUAUACUUUUAUUUUAUUUUUUAAUAGCCUGGGGUUAGCUGGUGAGGCAAGCUGAGUUGCAGUCUCCUUUUCUUUCUCUUUUGUUGGUCAUACAUGGUUAGUAAGUGGUACAAGAGGCAGCUGUCAUUUAACCUUGCUGAAAAAACACAUAGGAUCAGCUAGAGCAGUCUCAUUCCUUCACAGCUCAAACAUUGCUGUAUUGUUUACUGCAGACACCUGUGGCAACACAACAUUAUUAGUAUUAAUUCAACCCUCUUUUCCCCUUUUCUUAAUACUAAUGCUGCCAAAAAAAACCUUUUAGCUACACAGAGGACAAGAAGAAAGAAAAGGGGAGCAAAACAGGAAAAAGGAAGCUCUUUGUCAAAGGCUUUGCUAAAUGAGGUAUGCUUGUAAUAGCAAAGUUUCUCAGAAUGGUUUCAUCACAUACUGCUAAACUCAGAAGAGUUUUGGAACUGCAGCUGUCAUAGAAAAGUGACUGUUUUGUGAAACCAUGGAUAUGACGCCCACACUCUUCCUUAUCCUGUCUGUUAAAAAAAAAAAAAAAACAGUUUACAAGACAGCAUAAAUGACUCUUUUGCAUCUUGUAUGCUUGAACCAGAUUUCCCUGCACAUAUUUUAUUUUGGAUUGAGUUUUAUUUUUGCAGGCAGCCUUCUGUUACAUGCACACAAGUAUGUGUACACGUGAUAUGCCACACUAAUCUUGACAUUUCUGACCUUGCAACCUUUGUAGGACCAAUAUGCCACCAUUCGGGAACGGUCUCUGUGGACCUAAUCAGCUUUUAAAUGUGAUGCUUUCCUGCAUUGCUACAAGAGCCCUGGGAUGAACUAUUGAUUGGAAAACAAAUGUCAUGAUGUGAUUAUUAUAAGCCAGAACAAUUAAAUUCUUAUACCAAAAAAGAAACAAAGCAAACCCACUAUAGCUCAGUAUGUUUUUAAAAGUAACUUCGCGUUUCUCUGCAAUGAUAUGUCAUCAAGCUCUUUGGCUUCACAUCUCCAGUCAAUCAAUUACCAAUCAUUAUAAACUGGACUCUGGCUUGGUACAUGUUCUGCAAAACGUAAGCCUCUAUAGGCUGGAUGUCAAAGAAUAACCACUUCAUCAGAUGGGCUGAUUUGCCCAUUGUACACUGUUUCACCUCCUUUUUUUGGCAUGCAGUGCUUUACAUGAUGUGAAGGGACUUCUGACUACCUCCAUGUCAAAAAGGGAGAUGAAGCAGUGGCCACCAGUGCCGCAGCAACACGGGAGACUUCCUGUGUUGCCUUCUUUUCAAUGGAGAAAAGUCAGGAAGCAAUGCUUCCUCCCAUGAAAUGAGGAAGAAGGUAAGGUUGGCAAUGCUGGGCAUGGAGUGGCGGCUUCUCCAUGCCUUCCACCAGGAGCCCAUGGAUUCGCCCCAAUGUGGGGCAAAUCCAUGGGCCUUUCUGAUAAGCUUGUUAAUGUGACUGGGCAUGUCCACAUUAAA